UACGAAGGUGGCAAGCGUUGUUCGGAUUUACUGGGCGUAAAGAGCUCGUAGGCGGUUCGGCAAGUCGGAUGUGAAAUCUCCACGCUUAACGUGGAGGGGCCAUUCGAAACUGCCGUGACUCGAGUCCGGUAGGGGAGUGCGGAAUUCCCGGUGUAGCGGUGAAAUGCGCAGAUAUCGGGAGGAACACCAGUGGCGAAGGCGGCACUCUGGGCCGGAACUGACGCUGAGGAGCGAAAGCGUGGGGAGCGAACAGG
rnacentral:rRNA from 1 species